CCUCCCCCUCCCCCUUCUCCUCGCGCCGCUGCCCCCUACCCCUCGCGCCGCUGCCCUCAGAGAAGCACCGCUGCGGCUGCUGCUCCUUGUCGCCGCUCCUCACCCACCCACCGCGGCCGCCUCCUCCCUCGGAACCCUAGCCAACCGCACGCAACCCAUGGCGUCGCCCAGCUCGCCGCCCUCGGUCAUCGCGUCGUCGCGGGGCUCCUCGCGCAAGUGCUGGCCUCUGCCAAGGCCACACCCGAGGCCGACCAGGAGGCCACGGUCUCCAAGCGCUCCCGCAAGAGCACCACGUCCGGGAAGAAGAAGCGCCCAAGGCGGCGGCGGGAAGGAGCCGCAGAAUUGGUGAUAGUCUCCCUGCUUCACCCACUGCUAGAUGUACCAGCAGCAGAAGCAAACCUCCCCUCCGCUCAUUGUUGGUGGUUUAGACUCGGGUUGUCGAUGUAGAUCGAUCCAGGGCCCCCCUCUUCAGUUAUUUUGCUUGGUGGUAUGUGGAUCUUCUCGUGCACUGAUAUACCUGAGGUUGAUCGAAAGUAUGGGGAUCGCCCUAUUGAUGCAGUAGACCUUCGAAGCGAAGCAGAAUUCGACAAGGCUGAAAAAGCUAGGGAGAAGUUGGUACUUGUUCUCCAGGACACAUGCUUGAACUAUCGAGCUAUCGAUCUGCGGACACCUGCAAAUCAAGCAAUCUUCUGCAUCCAAUGCCAUGUUGAGAACAAAUUCAGGGAAUCUUUGUUCUUCGGAGAAUUUUAUCGGGAUCCAGCACAGUCCAAAGUUGAUUGGUGGUCCAGGUGGAAGGUGGUGCAUCUGUAUUCAAUCUGGAGUAUAAUGGCCAGCCUGCUUGUUUAGCACAAUCUCCCCAAUUAUACAAGAAGAUGAGCAUCUGUGGUGGCUUUGGCCGCGUGCUUGAGGUUGGUCCUGUAUUUAGAGCAGAAAAACACUCACAGGCAGUUGUGUGAGUUUAUUGGGUUGGAUGCAGAGAUGGAGAUCAAGGAGCACUACUUUGAGGGAGAACAUGAUAAGAGACGCACAUCUGAAAAGAUUGCUGAUGAUCAGUUAUUUGCUUCUGCGCCAUUUGACAGGCCAAGCAAUGGGCUUCGGAAUAUGGAACAACCAAAAAAAUACCCAAAUAUGUCAACACUCGUGUUACAGAGGUGUUCCCAGUUAAAAAAUCCAGAAACAUUGGAGAGGAAAACUAUAAGCUCGCCUGACUCCUCUACCCAGCAAGAGAAGAUGAAGGAGAAAUUGUGCAGCCUCCAUCCCUGUCCAACGUGUUGUGCGUUGCAGGAGGAGCGAGCGGACGCCGGAGACUGGCAACAAGCCGAGGUUGGAGCGGUGAUGGUGGCUGCAGCGGGAAAAACCGCGCCGGCAACAAGCACAAUUCCUCAUCUCUGUCUCCAACGAAAAGGAUCAUCUGGGCCCUAUGCUACUAUUGCUUGAGUGAGAGUAGUGCCAGUGCUUCACAAGUGAGAGCUCGGUGUCGUAUCCGCUGGCUGAGUGGCAAGCUGGAGCUGCAGGUCGCUGAACAUGGUGGUCCUACUGUGAGGAUCUCGUGUAUCAUUCUGUAUGACGGAGCCGCCACCCUCCCGAGGCUCCCUUUGUCUAUAUAAUGACUCUGACAUUGUGUGUCUAUGAUGUGAUGACUUAUCCUGUUGGUUUACUUUUGCCAAAAAUGCUACUUUGCUUUUUGUAUGAUUGAUUGCGUUGCCCUUUGGCAUUGCUUGGAGGGAUGUUAUGUAUUGGGCACAAAUUAUGUUAUAUAUAAAGGCAAUGCUGUACUUUUGAUGUAAUUUCAAUACAUUUAACUGAUCCACUACUGUCGCAACAAUAGAUAUGUUGUUUAUACGUCCGGGCAAUGUGUUGAGCCAUACGUCUGACAAAGGUAUGCAUUCCUCCAUGUACCACUUACCUCUCCUGCGAUGCUUUCCGUGCUUUGUAUUUCAAGUAUUGGAUAAAGGGCAGUGCUUACUUAGGCCAUUUUGAUCGCGAUAUGCUGUGUCUCGCUCCUAUCACAAUUGAAUAUUUCUUCUUUGAUGUAUUAUUGUCAUACAUGAAUACACAUGAUAAACCUGGACAUUUGGAUUGUUACUAAGUAUUCCUUUCUUGACCAUAACGUUUGGACCGGCACCCUCACGCUAGAGUGCGAUACCGAUCUAGUCAUAUAUUCGGUGCGGCAGUCCAGCUUGCCAUGCCUGCCUGCUGCCGUUCUGGGCUGGCGGUCCUGGUGAACAUUUCCUUGUUUCCAGGCACUUCAUUCACGGCCAUGGGGCAUUUGGUAUGACAUCAUUUAUUGAGAAAAUUUUAGAGAAUGAGCCUUCUAUUAAUGUGAAGACUCAGAUGCUCUUUGGCCACCUAGAGUCAGUCAAUCAUCUGGAUUGUUCUUCAUUAACAUGCCGCUGGCAGAUCCACCAUUCCAGCCAUAUACUCCCUCCAUUUUUAUAUACAAGGCCACAAACCAAUAUUACAGGUACCAAGGUAGAAACUAAUGGUCAUUUAAGCCAAUGUUGCAAACUAGUCUUUUCUCCUCGCUUGACGUGUUAAUUAAUGUGUAUUUUCCUCUGCAACGCACAACAAGACAACUCUCUCACUCCUCAGUUCAACUGUGUGCAUAGGUACGAUCAAAUGAGUGUUAAGUAUCAGAACAGUAAUUCUGAAAGAUGACUCGGUUACUGCAAAUGUCAAUACAUCUCAGUUCAACUGUUCUUCAGUCACCUACAUAGUUUACAUAGGUAAAGUCAAAUGUAUAUUAAGUCUGCUCUGAGCUAGAAUCCUGCCACCAUUUAUUUUUUGGGUGUGUAGUUUCUUUAGAAUUGUGGAGAACUAUCAUGCAGCUGACUGGUUUUAGAGGGGAUAUCAGUAUGUUGUCCUCCUCUGAAUGCUGGUCUAGGGGUGAUAGUUUUGCUGCUAUUAAUAUUAUUCAUGCAGCUGGUCUUUGGACUAUCUGGAAUUUAAGGAAUGACAUGGUUUUCAACCACACUCCUUGGCCUGGUCUACAGGUGUUUUGGUGCAGGACGGCAGCAAGUCUUUCUCUAUGGGAGCGGCUGUCCUCCGACUGUGUGAAAUCCCAACUGCAAAACAUGGCGCAAAAGCUGGAAAAGAAGACAAGGGAGCCGCCGCUACUGAUGUGGCCAGACCCAGGCUGAUUGAGUCUUGGGGGCAAUGCGACGAUGCUCAUUCCCCGAGUAAUGCAGUUUGUGCAAGUGUCCCUGGAGCUGCGGUUAUGUAAUAUGUGUGUGGGAGCUCUGAUAGUUUCAGAUUUGUGUCUGUGCUGCUAGAGUCGCUGCAUUACUCGAGUUUACCUCUGUUUGUUUCAGUUUCUUUUGUUAUGUCCUACUAGUUUUAUUUAGUCCUUGCUGAGGUAGCGGUGGGGCUGUCCUCC
rnacentral:rRNA from 1 species